AACGAACGCUGGCGGCAUGCCUAACACAUGCAAGUCGAACGAGACCUUCGGGUCUAGUGGCGCACGGGUGCGUAACGCGUGGGAACCUGCCCUUAGGUUCGGAAUAACUCCCCGAAAGGGAUGCUAAUACCGGAUAAUGUCUUCGGACCAAAGAUUUAUCGCCUUUGGAUGGGCCCGCGUUGGAUUAGCUAGUUGGUAGGGUAAAAGCCUACCAAGGCGACGAUCCAUAGCUGGUCUGAGAGGAUGAUCAGCCACACUGGGACUGAGACACGGCCCAGACUCCUACGGGAGGCAGCAGUGGGGAAUAUUGGACAAUGGGCGAAAGCCUGAUCCAGCAAUGCCGCGUGAGUGAUGAAGGCCUUAGGGUUGUAAAGCUCUUUUACCCGGGAUGAUAAUGACAGUACCGGGAGAAUAAGCUCCGGCUAACUCCGU
rnacentral:rRNA from 1 species